UCCUGCCACACUGACUUUCAGUUCCUCCUAGGCUCCGUCUCCCUGCCUCGUGAAUAGUUUUCCUUCUAUUCACCAGGACUGUCUCUCGCUGGCAAAUCCCAGCACCACUGCAGUAACUUUAUUGGGCACAGCUUAGAAUCCACCGGAUAAAAUAUGUGCUACUUUAAUGGCCUAUUUAAGGACACGUAACUGAUGAGAAGUAGAAGCCCAAAACAUGAGGAUGAGUCAGAAUACCGAAACAGAAAGAGGAAGACACAAUGUAUGUAAGAUUGGCAUCUCCCCAUUUACUCCACCACUCCCCAGGGAGUAGGAACACGCUCUUCUGUUUUAAAGAAAGGGAAGAGGGAUCAAGAUAGCUAUGGAUGCUGAGGCAGAGGACAAGGAAGGUCAAGAUGAACGCUGAUGACGUAACAAGGACUGAAGCUGAAGCUCCAAUACUUUGGCCACCUGCUGUGAAGAGCCAACUCAUUGGAAAAGACCCUGAUGCUGGGAAGGAUUGAGGGCAGGAGGAGAAGGGGGUGACAGAGGAUGACAUGGUUGGAUGGCAUCAGCGAUUCGAUGGACAUGAGUUUGAGCAAGCUCCAGGAGGCAGUGAAGGACAGGGAAGCCUAGUGUGGUGCAGUUCAUGGGGUUGCAAAGAGCCAGACAUCACUUACAGACUGAACAACAACAACAACACAUACUGUAUAAUGAUGAUUUGAAAAAUAAAAUUAUUAAGGACAGCAUUAAAUGUUGAGCUGAUAUAAAGUUUCCAAAUAAAAUACAUUCC
ensembl:lncRNA